CCCUCAGUGAGCUGUGUGAGGGCCUUCUGCUGUUUGUGACAACAAUCAAUGAUGUAACUGCAGCGUGUCUCUCAGCUCAAACUGUUCGGAAACUUUGAGGACGGCAGUGGGACACAGAGGCUGAGUGGACUGUUUUAGAGCCUGUCUUGCAAAGAGCAAGAAAAGAAGUUGGACCUAAUGCUGGAGCAGACUGAGGAGGACUUCGCGACGCACAAGGAUGCUGUUCAGAUUCAGACAGCCCAUGACCUGGAGAUUGAUUUCAGCGCAUCAUUUUGAAGGAUGUCCCAAUUCCCAAAAUGCAUCUUGAGGAGGGGGAAGGCCUGCCAGAAGAGCUAUGAGCCAGGAUGCACAGGUGUAGCUGAUACAUGACAGAGGCAUGACACAUAACAGGACUCUACAAAUGUGGGAGGGACUAAGACGCGAGAAGAGGAGGCGAGGAAAUGUGU